ACUUCUAGCUUAAAUGCCUUAAAAGCAACAGAUCCAUCCUAUCUUGGACGUCUAGCAAGGCCAGCUCUGGUUAAUACUUAGAUGGGAGGCCACCAUUUAAUGGCAGGUGCUGUAGGCU
rnacentral:rRNA from 11 species